AUUUUGCGUAGAAGAAGAAGAAGGAGAAGAUCCGCCAUUGUUAGCUCUGUUAUGAGAUUUACAGUUUUUCAACAUUUGUGGAGCAGAGGUGCACCAUGGCUUGCCACAAUGUCACAAUGGGUUCUUGGAGAGCCGCUGCUGUUGACUUGCUGCAUGUCUCCUCUCUGCGGCAAAACUCACAAAUACUCCACUCACCAAGUUCCAGAGGGAGAGGAUCACCAGCCACCACCGGCCGUACUAAAGGAAGUGGCUCUAUGUAGGGAUGGAACAUAGCAACUACACCAGCUGGGACACACCUAGCCAACUGGACACUGGGUACGGUGGCUUGGGGAGAGGGACCAUGUGGCCUGAGGGGAGGGGUGGUGGCCGGUGGGCAGUGUGUUACUGACCAGUGUGGUGUAAUGGUGUUGUCAUUGUCACCCUUGAGGAAUUCUGAGGGUGAGCUGGCUCUAUUAGAUGAAUUACAGGA